UAGGGAAUCUUCGGCAAUGGGGGGAACCCUGACCGAGCAACGCCGCGUGAGUGAAGAAGGAUUUCGGUUCGUAAAACUCUGUUGUUAGAGAAGAACAGCGCAUAGAGUAACUGUUAUGCGUGUGACGGUAUCUAACCAGAAAGCCACGGCUAACUACGUGCCAGCAGCCGCGGUAAUACGUAGGUGGCAAGCGUUGUCCGGAUUUAUUGGGCGUAAAGCGAGCGCAGGCGGUCAAUUAAGUCUGAUGUGAAAGCCCCCGGCUCAACCGGGGAGGGUCAUUGGAAACUGGUUGACUUGAGUGCAGAAGAGGAGAGUGGAAUUCCAUGUGUAGCGGUGAAAUGCGUAGAUAUAUGGAGGAACACCGGUGGCGAAAGCGGCUCUCUGGUCUGUAACUGACGCUGAGAAGCGAAAGCGUGGGGAGCGAACAGG
rnacentral:rRNA from 1 species